CCCUAUGGGGUGCCCCAGGACAUCCGCCGGCACUGGACUUUUGUAGGAGCGGCUUCCAGCCGCGACUCUCUUGGGAACCAGCUGUCUUUGUCGCGGCUGGAAGCCGCUCCUGCAGGGUCACCAAAAGUCAUGAUCUCAUCCAUGCAGAGUAUACCAGAAGAGGAGUGACAGGAUGAAAAUGAAAGCCAGAGGGAUGGUGAUGGCCUCCUUUGCCGCUGAUUCUCUCGCGCUGGUAGCCCACGGGAUCUAGGACACGGGGAUGAUCGACCGAAAGUGUGGACGUGUCCAGCAGCUGCUCAAACCCUUGGAGGAAUCCUAUCAUCCCACGAAAGACCGGGGGGAAUUCACACACUACGGAGAUCAAACCCUGGUGCUCCUGGAAUCCGUUGCGGAUCACGGCGGAUUCGAUCUCCAGCAUUUGGCCGGGAGCUGGCGGGGGGGC
rnacentral:rRNA from 1 species